rnacentral:rRNA from 1 species
AUGGACCCUUCCAUCCCUUUUUCCCGUGCAUAUGCAUCAGACUCGGAUGACGAUGGUCCCGAUGAACAAGUUGAUGCGGAGGGGUUCACGGUGAAGGAGGCCGAAGCUUUCGAGAAGGUUUUUGGUCGGGAUCAUCGGACUACAUUGUUCAAGGAUGUUAGUCUCGUGGAUGAAGCCAUGGUAGAUGGUGGCCAAUGUGUACCUCUUGGGGUUAGGCCAAGCUCUCAUCGUGAUUUGGGAGAUGACAAGAACCGCAUUGCUAAAGGUUCUAAGUUCGACACCUUCUUGGAAUUGAAGAUGUGGCUCGACAACUACUCAGUUACGCAUUAUCGUCCACAUAAGGUGGUGCGCUCGGACGUCAAAGUGUGCUAUACGGUUGCAUGUGCAUGUGAAGAUGAAAUAUGUCCAUGGAUUGUGCGUGCAAGACCAUGGAAAGGAGGUCCCACUUGGCACGUAGUGAGUUGUGUGCCAACUCACAUGUGCCAAGGCAAAAGGGUGGAUGGCAAGAUUGUGUCCCAAAACCACAAACAACUCACGUCCGAGUUCAUCGCUUACAGGCUCUCCAACUCAAUAUCCACACUUCCAACAAUGAGCGUCCAACAUGUCAUUGACCUUGUGAAAGCCAUCUUUCACUACAAGGUGAAGUACGGCAAGGCAUGGAAGGCGAAGCAAGCCGCAUUUAAAAUGUUGUAUGGUACUUGGGAGGAAGCAUACAACCGAAUCCCUAGGUUGUUGUUAGCCUAG